UUGAAAAUGUCAAAACCGAUUGAGUUC
rnacentral:piRNA from 1 species